AAAAAAAAUAUCGUCGUAAUGUCUUUUCAUAUGGGAAGAUAUUUCACCCUCUCAUAGUAGCUCGAAAUUUAUCGAACAGGAAUUUUCGGAUUGAGAUACCAGAAGACCUAGUUCCGAAGAGUUGGUCCAUUUGUUUGAAGGCUACUGCUUGUCGCCCACUGCGUAAUAGCGAGAAGCUUUCGGCUUGGCAAACCCAAAGCCGCGAAAUAUGUGCUGCAGCAGGUAAUCUUCUUUGAAUCAGAAGGCAAGCUCCAUUUAUCUGGGGCGUAUUUGAGGCUUGUGAAGCUCAAGGUCGGGAAAGAAGUCCUGGAAACGAUGAAACGAAAGCGGGAGCAAGCUUCAAUAACAAACUACCA
rnacentral:sRNA from 1 species